AAUCAACGCUGGCGGCGUGCCUCAGACAUGCAAGUUGAACGAUUAAAGCUCUCUUCGGAGAGUGCAUAAAGUGGCGCACGGGUGAGUAACACGUAGGUAAUCUACCCUCGAGUGGGGAAUAACGUCCGGAAACGGACGCUAAUACCGCAUAACGCAGCGGCACCGCAAGGUGACAGUUGUUAAAGGAGAAAUCCGCUUGAGGAGGAGCUUGCGGCAGAUUAGCUUGNGGUAAGGUAACGGCUUACCAAGGCUACGAUCUGUAACCGGUCUAAGAGGACGGUCGGUCACACUGACACUGAAUAACGGGUCAGACUCCUACGGGAGGCAGCAGUCGGGAAUUUUGGGCAAUGGGCGAAAGCCUGACCCAGCAACGCCGCGUGAAGGAUGAAGUAUUUCGGUAUGUAAACUUCGAAAGAAUAGGAAGAAUAAAUGACGGUACUAUUUAUAAGGUCCGGCUAACUACGUGCCAGCAGCCGCCGUAAU
rnacentral:rRNA from 1 species